CUGCUUUUGGAUCUCGUCAAACGCAGAAGCACAGCGCCGCAACCGGCAAUGCUGUCUAGGGCCUCGCUGCCAUUCGCGACGUCACGCCGGGUUGUGUGUGCUGUCGUCCGAACUGCUGUGGAGGAAAAUUUUCAUCUCAUACAUGACGGAUCUCGCCGAGAAGCCGAGCCUGUCCACCGAAGCCGCCGCCAUCACGAACACCUCCUGUUGCUUCACCGUCGUCAAGCCUUGACUAUUUCCGAUCCUCCAUAUAUCUAGGUAGCUGCCGCUGCUAGCCCUAGCUUUGGCUCGUGCGACCGCGUUUGGACGCAUCUAUCCGCCAUUGCUGUUGUUCGUGACCUCCUUGCUAAGCUUGGCAUCAAGGAAGCCAUCUGCGAACUCGCCGGUUUAAGUUGUUGGCGUGACCCACCUUGCCAAGCUGUAUGUCACCAUCGCUCACUUCCUGACGACAAGAACCCCAUCAACGGAAAGCAGUUUUUGGUGAUCAAGAUCAGAGCUUUGGCAUCAAGUAAGACCAACAGGACUAAAAGGAUCAGCAAGAGCAAAU